rnacentral:misc_RNA from 1 species
AACGCAAGUUGCGCCCCAAGCCAUUAGGCCGAGGGCACGUCUGCCUGGGUGUCACGCAUCGUUGCCCCCAUCAAACCUCAACCCUUUCGGUGAAGGUUGAAGUGUGGGCGGAAAUUGGCUUCCCGUGCGCUCACCGCUCGCGGUUGGCCCAAAUAUAAGUCAACGUUGAUGAAGCGUCGCGACGAUCGGUGGGAAUGCUUUAUGCUGCCUCUUUCGAAGUCGUGUGUGCUCGUCAAUUCGGAUCUUACGACCCUUCUGGCAUCGCAAUGGCGGUGCUCGCAUCGCGACCCCAGGUCAGGCGGGAUUACCCGCUGAGUUUAA